GGAAGGUUCUUCCGUCCUGCUUGGAGCAUCUUCCCGCAGCCGCUCGCGGGCAGGGCAGGGCAGGGGGGCUCCUCGGGUCUCGCCUGCGGACUCGGUGCAGUUCCCGCUCGGAUGGUGCUAGACCGGGCAGAGCCCGACCCCCCGGGCCGGAGGAGCUGGGAGCCGGGACGCGAUCGGCACCAGAUCCCUUCCCCAGCGCGGGAUCGAGGGAUUCCCUUCGUGACCCGGUGGCUGGCGCUGGCGAGGAGCGAUCAAUAACCAUGUCGGGUACAGGAGCCGCCUAUUCCCAAGCCGCAGGGGGCUGGGGGAGUCACCCCCCCCCCUUCUCUAGCCCUCCCCCCCGCCCCCUUUUCUUUCUUUUGAGCCGAAAUGUGCAAUUGUUGGGUCCGGUUAAUGGUGACUUAAGAAGCAGCAAGCUGGCCAGAAGGCAAUAAAUCCCAUGUUUAAUGCA